GAUGAGUUAGAGCGAGUCUUCUAAACUCGUGUUGGUUGUUGGGGCCACUCAUUU
rnacentral:tRNA from 1 species